AGCCACAGCCAUAUCACCCUGCAGCCCAAGACUGGUUGCCCACUGAAGCUACGCAGGGCUGAGCCUGGUCAGUACCUGGAUGGGAGACCUCUUGGGAAAACUAGGUUGCUGUUGGAA
rnacentral:rRNA from 1 species